UUACGGCCAUAUUGCUUGAAACCCCGGUUCCCGUACGAUCAACGAAGUUAAGCAACAUCGAGCCUGGCCAGUACUUAAAUGGCUGACCGCUUGGACAUAUCAGGUGCUGUAAG